GAACUAUAGUAUUGGGCGUAAUUUUGAUGAAAAUUUUCCGACUAAUCCAAAGCCAAACCCAAGGCAAAAACAUGGGAAUUUACGAUCAUGGAAAAUCCAAAAGUGAAAGUGACGAUUNNNNNNAUGCAGACACUGUUCUGACACGCCAUGAACAAAUUCUGAAUCUAAUUAAAGCAAACUGACACACUGCCAUUCACAGCACAUCUUUUAUUUUUAACCCACCAAUUUCUGCUCUCUUUAUCUUCAUCUGUAUAUAAGUUGAUAAAUUUCUCUUUACGCUACUCACCCACGAGAAAUUUUAUCCUAAC
rnacentral:misc_RNA from 1 species